AUUGAACGCUGGCGGCAGGCCUAACACAUGCAAGUCGAGCGGAUGAAGGGAGCUUGCUCCUGGAUUCAGCGGCGGACGGGUGAGUAAUGCCUAGGAAUCUGCCUGGUAGUGGGGGAUAACGUCCGGAAACGGGCGCUAAUACCGCAUACGUCCUGAGGGAGAAAGUGGGGGAUCUUCGGACCUCACGCUAUCAGAUGAGCCUAGGUCGGAUUAGCUAGUUGGUGGGGUAAAGGCCUACCAAGGCGACGAUCCGUAACUGGUCUGAGAGGGUGAUCAGUCACACUGGAACUGAGACACGGUCCAGACUCCUACGGGAGGCAGCAGUGGGGAAUAUUGGACAAUGGGCGAAAGCCUGAUCCAGCUAUGCCGCGUGUGUGAAGAAGGUCUUCGGAUUGUAAAGCACUUUAAGUUGGGAGGAAGGGCAGUAAGUUAAUACCUUGCUGUUUUGACGUUACCAACAGAAUAAGCACCGGCUAACUUCGUG
rnacentral:rRNA from 1 species